ACCCCAACGGGAUCCACAUGGGUGGGGGGACCCCAUGGGGUCUGAAAGGGGCACCAGGAACCCCAUGAGACCCACCAUGGGUGCUGGGAACCCAACAGGAUCCACCAUGGGUGCAGGAACCCCGAUGGGCCCCAAAAUGGGCGCUGGGACCCCCAUGGGCCCCAAAAUGGUCAUUGGGAACCCAACGGGAUCCAAAUGGGUGGGGGGAAUCCCAUGGGCCAUGAAAUGGUCACCGGGACCCCAAUGGGAUCCACCAUGGGUGUAGGGACCCCACGGGUCCUGAAAUGGGCACCAGGACCCCAACAGGCCCCAAAAUAGUCAGCGGGAACAGAAUGGGAUCCAAAUGGGUGGGGGGAAACCCAUGGGUCCCAAAAUGGUCACCAAGACCCCAGUUGGAUCCACCAUGGGUGCAGGGACCCCGUGGGCCCCAAAAUGGUCACCAGGACCCCCAAGGGCCCCGAAACAGGCACCGGGACCCCCAUGGGCCCCAAAAUGGGUGGGGGGAAACCCAUGGGUCCCUAAAGGGUCCCCAGGACCCCAAUGGGUUCCCCAAUGGGUGGGGAGGACGCCAUGGGCUCCAAAAUGGUCUUCGGGGCCCCAACAGGAUCCAAAUGGGUGCGGGGACCCCAUGGGCCAUGAAAUGGUCACCAGGACCCCAAUGGGAUCCACCAUGGGUGCAGGGACCCCAUGGACCCCAACAUGGGCACCGGGACCCCCAUGGGCCCCAAAAUGGUCAGUGAGAGCCCAAUGGGUUCCAAAUGGGUGGGGGGAAACCCAUGGGCCCCAAAAUAGUCACCGGGACCCCAAUGGGAUCCAAAGGGGUUGGGGGGGACCUGAUGGGUCCCAAAAUGGGCACCAGGACCCCCAUGGGCCCCAAAACGGUCAGUGGGACCCCAACAGGAUCCAAAUGCCUGGGGGGAAACCCAUGGCUCAAGGGGACCCCAACGGGAUCCACCAUGGGUGCAGGGACCCCAUGGGCCCCGAAAUGGUCAUCAGGACCCCAACGGGAUCCAAAUGGGUUGGGAGGACCCCAUGGGUCCCAAAAUGGGCACUGGGAUCCCAAUGGGAUCCAAACAGGUGGGGGGAAAGCCAUGGCCCAACGGGAUCCACCAUGGGUGCAGGGACCCCAUGGGCCCCGAAACAGUCACCGGGACCCCAACAGGAUCCAAAGGGGUUGGGGGGGACCCCAUGGGUCCCAAAAUGGGCACCAGGACCCCCAAGGGCCCNNNNNNNNNNNNNNNNNNNNNNNNNNNNNNNNNNNNNNNNNNN
rnacentral:lncRNA from 1 species